GAUGAACGCUGGCGGCGUGCUUAACACAUGCAGGUCGAACGGAAAGGCCCAAGCUUGCUUGGGUACUCGAGUGGCGAACGGGUGAGUAACACGUGGGUGAUCUGCCCUGCACUUCGGGAUAAGCCUGGGAAACUGGGUCUAAUACCGGAUAGGACGAUGGUUUGGAUGCCAUUGUGGAAAGUUUUUUCGGUGUGGGAUGAGCUCGCGGCCUAUCAGCUUGUUGGUGGGGUAAUGGCCUACCAAGGCGUCGACGGGUAGCCGGCCUGAGAGGGUGUACGGCCACAUUGGGACUGAGAUACGGCCCAGACUCCUACGGGAGGCAGCAGUGGGGAAUAUUGCACAAUGGGCGCAAGCCUGAGGCAGCGACGCCGCGUGGGGGAUGACGGCCUUCGGGUUGUAAACUCCUUUCGCUAGGGACGAAGCGUUUUUGUGACGGUACCAGGAGAAGAAGCACCGGCUAACUACGUG
rnacentral:rRNA from 1 species